GUGAUGUAGUGUUGUUACACUGUAGUUGUACCAAUUAUGGCGUGCUGUUCAGUCGUCGGGGUCACCAAUUAUGUGGCGACUUAAUCACCACAUUUAUAUAUUAUUAAGCAUGAUUUAUUGAAGAGUACUUGUAUUCUCGUUGGCGUCUGGACAAGAAUUGACGCUUCUUAAAACUAAAAACUAAGGAUUAGGAAUUCAGUUGAAACUGUAAAUUUCCAAGAAUAUACAGAGAAUGAAUAAUAGAAUAACUGACAAACAGUGUUGCCAGAUAGGUCUUGUCUAUGUGCCCACACAGCGUAAACAUUCAACGUGUCAUCAAAAAAAAAAAACAAACAACACAAAAAAAAGAAAAUCGUUGUCAGAUAUAAUAACCACUAUGUAACCGAGCCGUUCGAUACCAAACGAGGUUUCAGACAAGGCGACUCCCUAUCGUGCGAUUUCUUCAAUCUGCUGCUGGAGAAAAUAGUUCGAGCUGCAGAACUUAAUCGAGCAGGUACAAUCUUUUAUAAGAGUGUACAGCUGCUGGCGUAUGCCGAUGAUAUUGAUAUCAUCGGUCUCAACAUCCGCGCCGUUAGUUCUGCUUUCUCCAGACUGAAUAAGGAAGCAAAACAAAUGGGUCUGGCAGUGAACGAGGGCAAGACGAAAUAUCUCCUGUCAUCAAACAAACAGUCGUCGCACUCGCGACUUGGCACUCACGUCAUUGUUGACAGUCAUAACUUUGAAGUUGUAGAUAAUUUCGUCUAUCGUGGAACCAACGUAAACACCACCAACAAUGUCAGCUUAGAAAUUCAACGCAGGAUAACUCUUGCCAACAGGUGCUACUUCGGACUGAGUAGGCAAUUGAGAAGCAAAGUCCUCUCUCGACGAACAAAAACCAAACUCUAUAAGUCACUCAUAAUACCCGUCCCGCUAUAUGGUGCAGAGGCUUGGACGAUGACAACAUCCGAUGAGUCGACGUUGCGAGUUUUCGAGAGAAAAGUUCUACGAAAGAUUUAUGGUCAAGCGCGUUUGCGCGUUGGCCACGGCGAAUAUCGCAUUCGAUGGAACGAUGAGCUGUACGAGAUAUACGACGACAUUGACAUAGUUCAGCGAAUUAAAAGACAGCGGCUACGCUGGCUAGGUCAUGUUGUCCGAAUGGACGAAAACACUCCAGCUCUGAAAGUAUUCGACGCUGUACCCGCCGGGGGAAGCAGAGGAAGAGGAAGACCUCCACUCCGUUGGAAGGACCAAGUGGAGAAGGACCUGGCUUCGCUUGGAAUAUCCAAUUGGCGCCACGUAGCGAAGAGAAGAAACGACUGGCGCGCUGUUGUUGACUCGGCUAUAAUCGCGUAAGCGGUGUCUACGCCAAUUAAGAAGAAGAAGAACCAUUUUAUAACGAAAACUCAAGUUUUGUUUCAAUGCAUGAAACCUCUUUAUAAUCACUUUAUAACGAAAAUUAAAAUUUUAUAUAUAUGUAAUAAUAUACAUAUCGUCACCUAAAAUACAUAAAAACAUAUUAUCAAAAAUGAAUGAAAACCGUUGUCAGAUAUAAUAACCAAUAUUUAACGAUUUUAUAAUGAAAUCUCUAUUUUUUUCAGUAUGAGUGCUGGAUACGAAAAUAUAUAACCACUUUAUAACCAAAACUCAAAUUUUAUUUAUCGUCACCUGAAAUGCAAAAUAACGUAACAUUUCAAGAAUGAUAGAGAAAGUGAUUACGCAAUGCACAUGUUUGCUUUCAGUCAGCUGUUCUUGUCACGGUUGACUUAUUGUUCGCCCGCGCUUUUGAAUGUCAAUUCGAAUUGUGUUUUCAAGUGUUGUAUUAAUUGGGAAAUUUUAUUCUAUAUAUAUAAAAAUCAAUGCCACUUUCUUUGUAAUUUCAUCACUCAUAAACGGCUGAACCGAUUUGGCUGAUUUUUUUUUUGUUGUAUUUGUUAUUAUUAGGAGAAGGUUCUUAUGUAAGAAAAAAGUUGCCGGAAACCCCUAAAACAGCCCUUUUCUUUUUCCCAUACAAACGUUUUAUUUUGUAUAUACAUACAUACAUACAUAUGUAAGUAAAAAUGAUUGUUCGUUUGUUAGUAACGCUAACGCUCGAGAACGGCGGAACCAAUCUUCAUGAAAUCAGAAGUUGUUCGCUGUGGAUCUGGAAAGGGUUAGAUAUAAAAAAACCAUAUACUUUUCAUAAGGAAAAGUCGAAAAAUUGGAAAUUUCCAAAAAGUGACUUUUCAUACACUUCUUUUUUGUUUUGUUUUUCAAUAUUUUGAUUUGUAAAUUAUUUGAAUCGUUCAAUUUCGGUCGCUUACUUUUUUAUUCCGGAAAAAUUAUUGAAAAUUAUUCAGUGAAAACUUUAUGUGUGUUUCAAACGAAGUGAUCAAUUACAGAUUGAAAUUUGUUACGAAGCAACGAAGACAUCGCGCUAAUAUCGGUCGGAGUUCUUUUUGCCAUCAACGUAUGGCAGCUCAAGACACAAGAACUUCAUGAGACUCCCACGAUGCGAUGACAUAUGUGUGGAAUUAUGGAUCGCUGUCAAUCAGCAAGCGAUCAUCACGAUAAUACAGCAAGACUUUUCAAACAACAGCUACGGUGUUUGAUGAACUUUAUCUUGAAGCAACGUAUGUAUUUAUAUACAAGUAUGGUGCAGUCAGAUGCUGGAUGUACUCUGUUGAGUUGCAAAAAAGAGGUUUGCCCCAGGCACACAUUUUUCUUUGAAUGGUGGAUGGUGGUUACACCAGAUCAAAUUGAUGAAAUCAUUUCUGCCGAAAUUUCUCAUGCAGAGAAAGAUCCAUUAUUCUACGAAGCGAUGAAAACCAAUAUGGCGCAUGGACCUUGCAGACAUCCCACUUGCAAUAAAUGCACGGAACACUAUCCACGUGCUUUUCUUUCGGAAACGCAAACUGGAAAUGAUGGAUAUCCACUCUAUCGUCGUAGCUCAUCAGACGACAAUGGCAGGACAUUUACCAUUCAACUUAGAGUAGUGAAUAUCGAAGUUGAGAACAUAUUGAUCGUACUAUAUUCUCCACUGUUGUCUAAUUCACAUUCAAAACUCAUAUCAAUGUUUAGUAUUGCAGUUUGGUGUAAUCUAUAAAAUACGUUUGUAAGUACGUCAUCAAAGGAACCAAUAUGGCGGUUAUUGGUCUUGAACGAUACGGUCGAUACGUGAACUGCAAUAAAGCGCUUUGUAGAGUAUUUACUUCUGCAAUUCAUGAACGUUUUUUGACUGUUGUGCGUCUCGCAGUUUAUUUGAAGAAUGGCUUAAGAGUGUUUUUCAACCCAGAGAAUACAGUACAGCCAGCGGAAACACUUCCAAUAACAUUGACAUUUUCCAUAAUACAAUUGCUAAGUAUGUAUUUGGAAUAGAAGAAAAGAACUGCAACCAAAUACGCCGUGAAAUAGAUUAUAAAUGGUUCAGUAAUCAGUCGUUGAGUAUGUAUUAUACCACGUGCAUCCCUAAAGACUGAUGUCACAACCUUUCCAGCCGCCUUUUUCGUUUUUCCACGCUUGAAAACCAUCACCACCAACUUCAUCAUGUGCAGUCCACUAGAAUGACUGUCGAUUGGACUCCAGCGGGAAAUGAUGGAGCUAUAUUUUUUUAUUUAUUGCGAUUAGAGAGUACUUAAACACUUCUCAGAAUUAGUUGUUUUUGUUGGAUAAUGAACUUGCGAGCACCUACUUUGCAACUCAACGGUGGAUUUCCCUGAGCCCAAAUUCAAGAGUAUUUUUCACAAAAAAACAAAGCUUUAUUGACACAUGAAAUGCUUUAUGAUCGAUUUUUUUAAACUAACACAAGUUGCUUCAGAAAAAUGCUAUAUCUCAUUAACUAAUAGUUAUAAUCCAACUAAUAGAAAUCAUAUAGAUGGUAGUAGUAGUAUUAUCUAUGUAUCAGCCACAGUGAAGCGUGGACGGGUCCUCUAGUAGUUUUUAAAAUGCGUUGCGCAGUAUUCGGUUGCAAUAAUAAUAAUGGUAAAAAUUGUGCUACGAAAUGGAGAUUUUUCCAUUUCUCUAAAGAUAAAAUAGUCCUAAAACAAUGGAUUCAUUUUUGUCGUCGUACGGACCAAAUUAAUGUUAACAAGUAAGGAAGGGCUAAGUUCGGGUGUCACCGAACAUUUUAUACUCUCGCAUGAUAAAGUGAUAAUCGAGAUUUCAUUAUCCGUCAUUUACAUAUUUGUUUAUUUUGGUUGAUAAUGUAUAUAUUGUAUUAUACAGAGAAGGAAUCAGAUGGAAUUCAAAAUAGCGUUAUAUCGGAAGAAGGCGUGGUUGUUAACCGAUUUCGCCCAUAUUUCGUACGUAUCAUCAGGGUGUUAAGAAAAUAUUAUAUACCAAAUUUCAUUGAGAUCGGCUGAGUACUUCCUGAGAUAUGGUUUUUGGUCCAUAAGUGGGCGACGCCCACUUUUCAAUUUUUAAAAAAAGCCUGGGUGCAGCUUCCUUCUGCCAUUUUUUCCGUAAAAUUGAAUGUUUCUGACGUUUUUUGUUAGUCGGUUAACGCACUUUUAGUGAUUUUCAACAUAACCUUUGUAUGGGAGGUGGGCGUGGAUUUUAUCCGAUUUCUUCCAUUUUUGAACUGUAUAUGGAAAUACCUGAAGGAAACGACUCUGUAGAGUUUGGUUGACAUAGCUAUAGUAGUUUCCGAGAUAUGUACAAAAAACUUAGUAGGGGGCGGGGCCACGCCCACUUUUCCAAAAAAAUUAGAUUAAAAUAUGCCCCUCCCUAAUGCGAUGGUUUGUGCCAAAUACUCUUUAAUAUCUUUAUUUAUGGCUUAGUUAUGACACUUUAUAGGUUUUCGGUUUCCGCCAUUUUGUGCGCGUGGCAGUGGGCCGAUUUUGCCCAUCUUCGAACUUAGCCUUCUUAUGGAGCCAAGAAAUACGUGUACCAAGUUUCAUCAUGAUAUCUCAAUUUUUACUCAAGUUACAGGUUGCACGGACGGACGGACGGACGGAGAGACAUCCGGAUUUCAACUCUACUCGUCACCCUGAUCACUUUGGUAUAUAUAACCCUAUAUCUGACUCUUUUAGUUUUAGGACUUACAAACAACCGUUAUGUGAACAAAACUAUAAUACUCUCUUUAGCAACUUUGUUGCGAGAGUAUAAAAAUGCAUGUAUUUGUGAAGUGCACUUCGCUCCAGAAGCCUUCGAAAGAAACUUGCAGUUUGAAAUGGUUCGCGAAAUCCAACUAAGUUGCUACCUAGCGCUUUUCCCACGUUAACCACUACUCCUGCAGAAGCUAAUGAACGACAGAAAAGGAUGGAGUCUCGUUCUAAAAAAGAGAUGUUAACAACAAUGUUGAAAAAUACCGCCCCUGUUGAAGUAAUUCAAGAAGACGAGGUUGGAGAGGCACCUCAAACUGCAGGAGAGGAGGUCAUCGAUGAUGGUUUCAUCAAUUGCUUCCAUUCCAAAAAGGUAUACUCCAAAGCAAUAUUGCUUUGAAAUUGCUGCUGGAUGACUUAAGACAACAGUACAAAAUUGAUUACGUUUUGACCUACCGAUUAAACCAGGACGUUUUGGAAAAUUUUUUUGGCGUAAUCAUGAUCACCCUGACAGACAGGAGUUCAAAUAUAGGCUGCGUUCCAAUAUACUUGGUCACAACGAAAGAGUGAUCACAGAAGAAGGCAAUGUUGAAGUCGACAACACACUAGAUUUGGAAGGGAAUUACUUAUCUCUAACCGGUGAUAUUUUUCAACGUGUGUCAGUUGAUCUAAUACUAUGUUCGGACCGACAACGAAAACAUGUUUUCGUGGGAAAAACUGGUCCAUGCAAAUCUGUCAAACGAAAACACAGUCGCUGAAAACUACUUGAAAACUUACAUUCCACUCAUUAUAAUCGGUGCUUGCUCUAGUUUAAUCGAUGUUUUUGGAAGACAUGUUUUGUCGGCCCUAAAUUGUCAUUUGAUAUUUGUUUACAUUCCAUAUACAAAUACAGCUGUUGCUUGAUCUUCUCAUAUUAGGGGGAUUCUCUUGCUCUUGUAAAACCUUGCACCGUGCAGAAAUUGCUGAAUUUUCCCUUUGGUGCAACGGCACAACAACAAACACACGCAGAAAAUUAUUUGCAAUGGCUGUAAAAUAUGUCAGACCAAAACCCAUGUUUAUUUUCGUGCCGUUAGCCGUUAUAUAUUUAUGUAUGACUAGAUUCUGGAUUUUUGCAUUUUGUGUCAUCGUGCAAUUUUGCAAGAGCAAGAGAAUGCCGCUUUUGAUAGUUGUCAGUGAAAACCCAUCGAAAACACACAUUGUCGGUCCGAACGACUUAGAUUCCACAACAUACAAAUAUGUUUUCAAAAUGUUUUCAAUGUCGGUCCGAACAUAGUAUAAAUUCCACUGACCCAAUUGAAAAAAAAUGAUGAGUUGGAGAUUCCCAACAACGACGGACUUGAGAAUUUGGCAGGGUACAUCUGCCACAAACUCGGUAAAGACUUUCCCGAAUUUGUGCCAAUUCAGAAAACUGUUCGUCUUAUACUUAGGUUGAUCGCCGUUCUGAAGGAGGACUCUCAAAACCCACAGAUAUGUUGAUGGAGAGUAUGAGAGGCUUGCAAGCAGUAUUUAACGACGUCAAUGAGCUAGGAUGUAUUUUAGGAUUCGUUCCUUAUACCAUGUUCAGACCGACACUUAAUCACACGAUUUCGGCUGGUGAAUGGAUUAUCCCACUAAUCUUAAAAAUUUAUCAGAUUUCGCCAUACUAAAAUGACAGUUCAAAAUUACUUCAUCAGAAUGAU